rnacentral:rRNA from 1 species
AGUCGAGCGGUAACAGGAAUUAGCUUGCUAAUUUGCUGACGAGCGGCGGACGGGUGAGUAACGCGUAGGAAUCUGCCUAGUAGUGGGGGACAACAUGUGGAAACGCAUGCUAAUACCGCAUACGCCCUACGGGGGAAAGGAGGGGAUCUUAGGACCUUUCGCUAUUAGAUGAGCCUGCGUGAGAUUAGCUAGUUGGNGGGGUAAAGGCUCACCAAGGCGACGAUCUCUAGCUGGUCUGAGAGGAUGAUCAGCCACACUGGGACUGAGACACGGCCCAGACUCCGACGGGAGGCAGCAGUGGGGAAUAUUGGACAAUGGGCGCAAGCCUGAUCCAGCCAUGCCGCGUGUGUGAAGAAGGCCUUCGGGUUGUAAA